CGGAUGUGUGCUAUGUGCCUUAAGGUGACAGGGAACCUUAUCCAGACCACUGAUAGUAAAAGAAAACAUGUACAAUUCUUCUUGGUGAGCAACAGCGAGGGAUGUAUUGGAGUAUUCAGAGAAUGGUUAAGUUAACUAUGGGCAAUACAACAACAAUAUUGAUCUCUGUAUAUGCAUAUGUAUGGGAACUAAGUUUGCUUUGUGGGUGCAAAUCCAGGUCCAAAAUUUUUUCAAACAAGAAUUGCUGCUUGAAAUAUGAAAAAGGACAUUAGUCUAAAAUUACGAUGACGAUAUAUUGCCGAUGCUAGUUGUUGUGCUACUGAUGAUAACAUUGUUGUAUUACUAUUUUAGGCAAAAAUUAAGCACAAUGUUGAGAAAUACACUAAAUUUAAUUUUUUGUAUGUUCAUUUUCAUUAGUAUCUGUAAAAUUAAUGAAUAAAACAAAUGAACCAAA